CUUCAGCCAUGUUUAUCACUGUGAUGUUUGGAGCUGGUUGUCAGGUGCUGGUGAACACCUGGUGCAGUCUGGUGACCUUCAUUAUGCAUCUGAAACAGAAAGUUCAGGUCCCCCCAGAAGGUGAGAAGACCUGGGGGCCCUGGGGAGGAAGGACUGAGGGUCCCAUGCCGGGGUGCAGGCUGCCCAGUUUAUUCCCAUUUCUGCCCAGUAACCAUUGCUCUUCUGGCUGAAGACGGGCAUCUGGUGAGGCUGGAAGAGGGGAUCGCCCAGGCCCCCUCCAUGGCCUGUUCCCUGUUACAGGAGCAAGGGACCUAUGUCCUGGUACAGAUCACUGGUGAGUGGGGCCCAAGACUCUCCGGUGCAGCUAUGUUGACUAUAAAGGAGAGACAGCAGGCCACAGACCAGCUAAGAUCCUGUUCAGCCUCAACCUUGGCUGGUUCCUAUACCCAACCAUCCCUAUCCAAUGCCUGUCCUAACCCCCAGCCUGGGCCAGGAAACAGACACAGAAUAAAAUGUAGGAUGGGGACCACCAAGACAGUUUAGGGUCCUUUGCUCUCUAUAUACUCUUCAGGAGGGAAAGAUGGCACUCCCACCCACUACAAGUCCCUACUGGACAACCUAGAUGACCACUGUCCCGAGUUAGCAGGUACGUAUCAAGGUAAGUGGGGGUGGGGGCACAUCUAUGCAGCUCCCAGCAAUGAGAUUCCUGGGCUUUCCAGAGGAGCUGGACUGGCUCUCCGGCUUUCCGGCUACAAGCAAUAGUCAGAGAAGACGCCCAGGCAUUCGGCGUGGCCACCGGGAACAAGGCCCCCCUUCAAGGUCUCGAAGGGUGGUCUCCCUACCAUCUAGAAACCGCUAGCCGGAGCCUGAGCCAGGUCCUGUGACCUGGCGCGCCACGGCCAAGUGGCCCGGCUGGACGUGGAUCCAAGGGGACUGGCCCUGACCUCUGCAUCAUGAUCAACUGCACACAGACCGCAGUCCAGCGGGACUCCUCUUUCAGAAUCUGGCAUUACUAAGAAGUUGCAUCAGCAAGAAGGGAAAGGUCACAGACAGGAUGCGAGAGGCCCCUCCACCACUCCCCCCAUUUGAGUGCAGAGAAAAGGAUCCAAGGACAGAAACAAGAAGAGUGAGGGGGCCGAAGGUCUGUGGGGCAGACAGGAGGCUCCUCUUGCGGUUUCAGGUCCCAGGGACUAAGGCCUCAGCCCUCUCUCCCCACUUUGAGAUCCCUAGAGGAAUCUGUCCUUGGCUAUUUACAAUGUAGAUUAUAACAGGGUUCCUCCCACCCCACCCUAGAAGUUCAAGGACAGCCCAGGGUUACACAGCAGGAAAUAUUCUCUCUCUCUCCCUACACACACACACACACACACACACACACACACACACACACAAAAGGAGAGGGAAAGAGGGAGAAAGAGGAAAGAGAGAGGGAGAGAGAG